CUUUUUUUUUUUUUUCUUUUUUCUUUUUAGGCAGGGUCUUUCUCUGUCCCCCAGGCUGGAGUGCUGUGGCACAGUCAUAGCUCACUGCAGCCUCGACCUGCUGGGCUUAAGGGAUCCUCCCACCUUAGCCUCCUAAGUAGCUGGGACUACAGUUGUGAGCCACCAUGCCUGCCUAAUUCUUAAAAGAAAUGUCUUCAGACUAGGCAUGGUGACCCAUGCCUGUAAUCCCAGUACUUUUGGAGCCGAGGUGGGAGGAUCACUUGAGCUCAGGUGCUCCAGACCUGGGCAACAUGGCGAGACCUUGUCUCGACUAAAAAUACAAAAAGUUAGCUGGGCAUGGUGGUGCACCCCUGUAGUUCCAGCUACUCUGGAAGCUGAGGCUACAGUGAAUUGUGAUUACAUCGCUGCCUUCCAACCUGGGCAAAGGGAGGAAGAAGGGGCCUUCAAAAAAAAAAUUUUUUUUUUUUGAGACAGAGUCUCGCUCUGUUGCCCAGGCUGGAGGGCAGUGGCAUGAUCUCGGCUCACUGCAGCCUCUGCCUCCUGGGUUCAAGUGAUUCUCCUGCCUCAGCCUCCCAAGUAGCUGGGAUUACAGGUGUGAGCCACUGUGCCUGGACUCUUUUUUUGUAGAGAUGGGAUUUCUCUAUGUUGCCCAGGCUGGUCUUGAACUCUUGGCCUCAAGUGAUCCUCCCACUUUGGCCUCCCAAAGUGCUGGAAUUACAGGUGUGAGCCACCACUCCCAGCAGGAAAAGUCACUUUUUAAAGCGAGAGGUUGUGCAUCCUCUAUAGCUUGGUACUUGGCAUGGAGGAUUUACUGGAACUUGUGUUAGGUGAGGGGACAUGGAAGAUGGCAACAAAUCCAAGCCCGGAGCAUCAGAAAGCAUCCUUUCAGCCUGAGAUGCCUUAUCUCCACCUCCGCGCAGGACCCUUCCCCAGUGUGUGCGCCUGGAGCAAGGUGGGGCCGAUCCUACGAAGCCUCUUUCCCGAAGGCCCCUGCUGCCUACAUCAGCGUCUCCUGGACCGCCUGCUCCUUUCCUGCAUGGCUGGACCAGCCCCAGGUCCUCCUGGCCUGGUGUAGGGAUCACAGGCCACCCUGGGGAAUGCCUGGUAUGUGUCCCCUCCCCUCUGGGUACCAGGGGAUGAAGCUGUGCUUCGUGGAGGGGAGCUGAGGCACUAGUGCCCGGGAUGGUGCGCCUGGGGCAGCUGAACUGGACCCGUCUCCUACUGGGCCCCUAUGGAGCCCAGAUUGUUGUGAGACGGUGACCUGUACCUUUCACUUUUGUUUCACGUGGGAACAGGGGCUCAGUCUGCACACAUAUUCGGUUUGGAGCAUGAAUUUCCAUGGAGAAGGAAAAUCUCUACUAAGAAGGCUCUGAUGUCAGGAUUGUCUGUGAGGGCCGGGCCAUGUUCUGGGGCAAGACAGGAGUGGAGGAGGCAACCAGGGAAGGCUUCCUAAUGGAGGAGGCAUUUGAUAGCAUCUUGAAAAAGAAGCAGUUCCUAGGCCAAGCCAGAGGGUGAAGAACAACCACCUAACUUCUUUCUACAAGAUGCCCCCAGGCUGAGGCAAAGCAGGUUGAGUGUGACACUUCCUUCCUUUCUGUGGGUUCUGGCCUUUCCGGAGCCCAGCCAGUGCCAUUGGAGACAAAGUGGCCUUCGCUAUUCCUUCCCGCCCUGCCAGGCCCCACUGUGCCCGCUGAGCCCUACUUUGCAAUUAAGAGGAGCUGUGAACCAAUGAUGCUGAUGUCACAAAAAAGUGGCCCGGGGUCUACGGGGGGUGAAGGACAGAGAUGCCGCCCUGAGAACUGUCUGGAAGGGGCUUUUGGGUAACAGUGCCCACUCCAGGUUGUAGGCAGGCUGGGGUGACUGGGAGCUGGGCUCACAGGCUGGCACAACUAGAGUUUCCCAAAGCCGUGGCCCUGGGGGCCCUUCCUUCCCGGGAGAGCAAC
ensembl:lncRNA